AAGGUAGAAAUUGGAAACUCAAUCUCUUUCAGUUUGAAGAUUCUGAAGAUUAGUAUCGAAUUCAUCUUGAUUACCAUCUGCUUCAAAGGCUUAAAUUUCUAGCUGCUUUCGGGUCAAUCUAUUGGAUUGAACAUAGAAGAUGCAAUGAUAUUCACGGUUUUCUCAAAUGACUGAACUACUCCUAUCAACAAAAAAGAGAAGAGGAUACUUGUUUUGUUCAGUAUAAGGCGAACACAUCGAGAAGAGAUGUUUGCAUCAUUUAUUCGCACCAAUCAGAGGUCUUGAAUAUUGGCGCCACAAGUGGAACACCUUCAACAUGUCUUCUACUCUUUGAUAUCCCUCAAAAAAGCAAAUGAUACAGCCAUUGUUGCUGGUAAGGUUUCUGAACUUGUAAUAUAUUACAAUAUGGUAAUGAGAAAGAAUGUGUUUAGAGAGUGGAAAAUGAACGACUAUUUAUAGAGUUUGGAUAGUUAGUAUGUUAUAGGGUUUAGAGAAUAUUUAAAAAUCUUGAUGACCAAGCAUUUAAUAUAUUUCGAAAUCUUUAAAUUGGGAAAUACAUAGAAUAUGCUAGGUUGAUGCUUAAACAAAUUAGGAUAAAAUCUUUUGGUUAUGAAGCAACUUCCUUUUCGAUAAGGUGAAAUGAAUAUCGAAUUAUAUGUAGGAAACAAAUGAUAAAUGUAGCAUUAAAAUAGGAAACAGUUUGCCUUACGAAAAUCAAUUUGUUAUAACUACAUAUACUCUCCAUAUCUUGAAAAAAUCAGAGAGUAAAUGUCGUUUGGAUUUAAUGUAGAGAGUAUCGAUUAAGGAAUGAUCCGAGUCAAAUAUUUCGGGUAAAAUAAUCAAAAUAUGGAAGGAUCCGAUUGACAGAUAUUCGGGUCAAAAUCAAAAAUCCGGGUCAAAAUCUUUAAAAAUACCCGACCCGAUUGGAAAGAGCAAAUUUGUAUUUCAAAAAUGUUAAGUAGAUUAAUUGCUCCUGACGUUUUCCUCAUCUGAAUUUACAACCGAUUUUACUUGCUUUAUUUAUUUUUUUAUUCUUAUUUUCUGUUUAGCUUAAUUCAAAACAUGUUAGUCUAUUGUGUGAACAUGAGAGCUCUGUGGAUUUCGACCCUAAAGUAUUGCAAUUGAUCUCUUAUUUGAGAGAGUAGUCUUAGGUCUAAUUUGACUCACAUCACUCCACUAAAAUUUGAAAUUUGUGUUAUGUUCCUUUAAUUUUUGUAAUGUUUUUUUUAUUUUUUUAUGUUUAAACCCCUAAAAUUCUAAAUCGGUACUUUUUUGUACUUCUUUAUGUUUUGACCCCAUUAUAUACAUGUUGUUAUAUAUUUUUUUGUU